rnacentral:lncRNA from 1 species
AAGGAGUGGUGCAGUAGUUCAAUCACCAGUAAGGACAGUGAGGGUUUUAUCCCGCUUUUAGUAAUACAGUAGCUGGAAAGAAAGCAGCAGUCUCAACUAGAGCAGUUAGAACUCUUAGCCAAGCAUGCGUCCCAGUGGCUAACGUGUCCCAGCCCCCAUGGUAGUCAAAACACAUCACGUUGACCCAGUCCAAGCAAGAGACUGGCGCGCAUACAUGGGGUGGUUAAACUGAGUUGAAAAAUGU